rnacentral:rRNA from 1 species
ACGGAGGAUCCGAGCGUUAUCCGGAUUUAUUGGGUUUAAAGGGAGCGUAGGCGGCCCUCUAAGUCAGGGGUGAAAGACGGCAGCUCAACUGUCGCAGUGCCCUUGAUACUGGGGGGCUUGAAUGCACCUGAGGCAGGCGGAAUGUGGCAAGUAGCGGUGAAAUGCAUAGAUAUGACAUAGAACACCGAUAGCGAAGGCAGCUUACUACAGGAUGAUUGACGCUGAGGCACGAAAGCGUGGGGAGCAAACAGGA